rnacentral:rRNA from 1 species
AGUGAACGCUGGCGGGAGGAAGAACACAUGCAAGUCGAACGGCAGCACAGUAAGAGCUUGCUCUUACGGGUGGCGAGUGGCGGACGGGUGAGGAAUACAUCGGAAUCUACUUUUUCGUGGGGGAUAACGUAGGGAAACUUACGCUAAUACCGCAUACGACCUACGGGUGAAAGCAGGGGAUCUUCGGACCUUGCGCGAUUGAAUGAGCCGAUGUCGGAUUAGCUAGUUGGCGGGGUAAAGGCCCACCAAGGCGACGAUCCGUAGCUGGUCUGAGAGGAUGAUCAGCCACACUGGAACUGAGACACGGUCCAGACUCCUACGGGAGGCAGCAGUGGGGAAUAUUGGACAAUGGGCGCAAGCCUGAUCCAGCCAUACCGCGUGGGUGAAGAAGGACUUCGGGUUGUAAAGCCCUUUUGUUGGGAAAGAAAAGCAGCAGGUUAAUACCCCGCUGUUCUGACGGUACCCAAAGAAUAAGCACCGGCUAACUUCGUG